GCAUGAGAAAGAUAAAGUCUGCCUCGCCUGGGUCUUGAACCCGCGACCUUCGAAUAUCGCUGGACGGUCUCACGCCUUCGUCGUGAGGUUCGCCCCCCCCCGUUUUGCAACAACGGACAGGUUCCAUAGCCCCAGCAAGUUAACGCUUUUUCGAGCGUCUUGUUGUGUACUAAGAUUGUUUCUAAUAUAGUAAUGUCAAGUAGCCG